GGCCCCAUCGUCUAUCGGUUAGGACACGGGCUUUUCAAGCCUGUAAGCCGGGUUCGACUCCCGGUGGGGUCACCA
rnacentral:tRNA from 1 species